UAAAAUUAUAAUGCAAAUACAAGUCAACUAUCACGAGUAUAAAAUACAUUUUCGCUUUAUUAAAAUUUCAUAGCAGAUUUUGGCAGUAUAAAAUACCAUAUUUUCAUUUGUAAAAUGAAAUAUAAUUUUUUCAUUAUCAGUGUCCAGAAAUCAGAACGUCAAAUUUUGAGAACUGCGUGUAAAAGAAAAGCAACCAAUGUGUUGUCAGAGCGACCUUCAAAAAUAAUAAAUUCAGAGAUCUUCAAAAUUGAAGAAGAAAAUUUAGAAAAGAAAGAUUUAAAAUAUGUGUGUCAGUCUAUAUAUAGAGAGAGAAGAAAACUGCGUCCGGCAUAAUCUAAAAAUCGAGCAGAAUUUCACAGAAUAUUGGAUGAUAUUGGUGUUGUUACAAACAAAGAUGAUGACUUUGUAUUGUGUAACGAUCCAGAAAGCGGUAUAAUCUUAUUAGGAUGUGAUGCUAAUUUG
rnacentral:lncRNA from 1 species